AGAGUUUGAUCCUGGCUCAGAGUGAACGCUGCCGGCGUGCUUAACACAUGCAAGUCGAACGAGAACGGACUAUAGCUUGCUAUAGUUGUCAGCUAAGUGGCGCACGGGUGAGUAAUGUAUAGGUAAUAUGCCUUUUACUAAGGGAUAACAAUUGGAAACGAUUGCUAAUACCUUAUAUUCCUUUUAAUCAAAAGAUUAGAAGGGAAAGAUUUAUCGGUAAGAGAUUGGCCUGUAUUGUAUCAGUUAGUUGGUGGGGUAAUGGCUUACCAAGACGAUGACACAUAACUGGUUUGAGAGGAUGAUCAGUCACACUGGAACUGAGGCACGGUCCAGACUCCUACGGGAGGCAGCAGUGGGGAAUAUUGCACAAUGGACGGAAGUCUGAUGCAGCAACGCCGCGUGGAGGAUGACACAUUUCGGUGCGUAAACUCCUUUUAUAUGAGUAAGAUAAUGACGGUAUUAUAUGAAUAAGCACCGGCUAACUCCGUGCCAGCAGCCGCGGUAAUAC
rnacentral:rRNA from 1 species